rnacentral:tRNA from 2 species
GGCCGUUUAGCUCAGUUGGAUAGAGCAGCUGUUUCCGGAACAGCAGGUCGGUGGUUCGAGCCCACCAACGGUCA